UGUGAAACUGCGAAUGGCUCAUUAUAUCAGUCAUAGUUUAUUUGAAAGUCCCUUACUACAUGGAUAACCGUAGUAAUUCUAGAGCUAAUACAUGCAUAAAAGCCCAACUGCCUCGGCGGACGGGCUGCAUUGAUUAGACCGAAACCAAUGCGUCUUC
rnacentral:rRNA from 1 species